rnacentral:rRNA from 1 species
UACGGGGGGGGCAAGCGUUGUUCGGAAUUACUGGGCGUAAAGGGCUCGUAGGCGGCCAACUAAGUCAGACGUGAAAUCCCCAGGCUCAACCUGGGAACUGCGUCUGAUACUGGAUGGCUUGAAUUCGGGAGAGGGAUGUGGAAUUCCAGGUGUAGCGGUGAAAUGCGUAGAUAUCUGGAGGAACACCGGUGGCGAAGGCGGCAUCCUGGACCGGUAUUGACGCUGAGACGCGAAAGCGUGGGGAGCAAACAGG